AACGCGAAGAACCUUACCCACCUUUGACAUGUACGGAAGCCUUUAGAGAUAGAGGCGUGCUCGAAAGAGAGCCGUAACACAGGUGCUGCAUGGCUGUCGUCAGCUCGUGUCGUGAGAUGUUGGGUUAAGUCCCGCAACGAGCGCAACCCUUGUCAUUAGUUGCUACAUUCAGUUGGGCACUCUAAUGAGACUGCCGGUGACAAACCGGAGGAAGGUGGGGAUGACGUCAAGUCCUCAUGGCCCUUAUAGGUGGGGCUACACACGUCAUACAAUGGAUGGUACAAAGGGUCGCCAACCCGCGAGGGGGAGCCAAUCCCAUAAAACCAUUCGUAGUCCGGAUCGCAGUCUGCAACUCGACUGCGUGAAGUCGGAAUCGCUAGUAAUCGUGGAUCAGAAUGUCACGGUGAAUACGUU
rnacentral:rRNA from 1 species